AUUGAACGCUGGCGGCAGGCCUAACACAUGCAAGUCGAACGAGUGGCGGACGGGUGAGUAAUGUCUGGGCAACUGCCUGCUGGAGGGGGCUCACUACUGGAAACUGUAGCCAAUACCGCAUACCAUCGGAUGUGCCCAAAUGGGAUUAGCGAGUAGGUGGGGUAAAGGCUCACCUAGGCGACGACCCCUAGCUGGUCUGAGAGGCUGACCAGCCACAGUGGAACGGAGACACGGUCCAGACUCCUACGGGAGGCAGCAGUGGGGAAUAUUGCACAAUGGGCGCAAGCCUGAUGCAGCCAUGCCGCGUGUAUGAAGAAGGCCUUCGGGUUGUAAAGUACUUUCAGCGGGGAGGCGUUACCCGCAGAAGAAGCACCGGCUAACUCCGUGCCAGCAGCCGCGGUAAUUC
rnacentral:rRNA from 1 species